UAUUUUUAUAAGCUCAGACACUUGUGUGUCUUGUUUUUGCUAACUUAAAAACUUCUUUUCCUUUCAGCGUUAACUGCUGAUUCCUUCUUCCUUCUGCAGCCAUCUCUUUUCAAGCAAGUGGUCUCUUCAGGUUUAUCAGUGGCAUUGAGAUCUGGGAGCUGCACUGAAAAUCAUUUUGGAAGGAGGCAAGUCAAGGCAGAAAACAAAAGACUGCACUGGCAGACAUCAGAUCCCUCAUAUUGUAAUUUCAAAAUGCAAUGACACCGUUAAAGACUGCUUCUUGGGAAAAUAGUCGGAAACCCACAAGAGGACAAGCAACUCUCUACUAGCUCUGAGUGAGUCCUAGAACUUGAGGCUCAGGGUGUACGUGGAGAAGAGCUACUCAGUGACAGUAAUCACACGGUAUUCAAAUUUAACAGCUGUACUGAAAGAGAAAAUGAAAAGUAUAUCCCUCACAGUAGAAUGUAACAUUAAAGAAGAAAAGCUACUAUAAAAUAAGGAAGCUCAUUCAAGAGACAUUUGAAAAAG
ensembl:lncRNA